CCAAGGGCUAGUAUGCAAAAAGGCAAGUCACCUUCCUAGCGUCUCCCCAAAUCCCCCAAAUCAGAUCGACAUCCCUGGCGGCGGCCGACGCGUUCCUUGGUGGCUGACUCGUUCCUGUCGGCGGAGGGGGCGGCGGAAGGCGGAGGGCGCGCUCCCCGCGACGGCUGGCGUUUUCCUCGCGGCAGAAGAGAGGGGGCUCUUCCUUGCGGCAGCGGCGGGCGUGUUCCUCACGACGGCGGCGGCGACGGGCAUGUUCCUCGCGACGGCAGCGGCGGGCUUGUCCCUUGCGGCGGUGGUGGCAGCUCGGCUGCGUGGGGGAGGUGAAGCAGCGGCGGCAGCGGCCGCGUGGUCGAAGGGAAGGGGCGCCUAGGGUUCCUCCUUCCCCAACCCCAACCAGCUCUGCAGGAACCGACGCCCCAAGCUCGCCAACGAGAUCUCGCUCUCACCGUCAACACCAGAAAAAGCUUCAACCCAUGGGACCUGGACGAACAGUCCGGCCACCAAGAAAUGCCCCGCAAUCUCAAGGUCAACAUUCUGGGAGUACCUCAGCAUCAAAAUCCAGGAAGGUACGUGGGAUAAAUAAGGGAAAGGGCUUGGAGCGUUUGAUCAAAAGGGCAGGUCAUCCACUAAACUUGACCAUCUCCGAAGAGAGAAGACCUAUUGGAGAAAAUAAUGAAUUACUUUCCAGAGAGAUUGGACUUCUUACACGGUACCAUGCACCUAUCCAACGUGCCGGGUGGCAUAGUCUGACUGAGGAUGAUAAGGAGCCGUUGUAUGAACUUCUAAAGCUUAAGUUCAAUCUUGAUUUCACCCAAGAUCAUAUCAAAGGCUGUGUGGAUCUGCUAUUCUCUUCAAGCUACAAAAGUUUCCGUCACAAGUGUUAUGAACAUUAUGUAAAAUCUGGUGAUGAUGCUAGAAGCAAUCCAUAUCCUCCCCUUAUUGAUAAUAGAGUUGGAGACUGGAUUUGGCUCUGUGAUCAUUUUGAAACAGAAGAAUUUAAGAAACGGUCCACAAUUGGGAAGGCUAACCGCUCAAACCUACCUUAUGUUCACAAGAAGGGAACAAAGUCAUUUGUAGCGGUUCAACAUGAAUUAAAUUGUGGCGAUAUCAGACUAUACAAGGAGUGUUACUCUAGUGAUAAGAAGGGAUGGGCAUCAGAAGAUGCCAGGAAUAAACAUGAAGAAAUGUUGCAGAAGCAAAAGGAACCUAUAGAGGAGGGUGAAGUACCUUUAACAGAGCAACAGAUUUGCGAGCAUGUGCUAGGUAAGGCAUAUGGUUACGUCAGAGGUCGGGGUCAUGGACCAAAACCAAAUAGAAGGGCUUACUCAAGCGCAUCAAGCUCAACUCAGCAUGUAGUGGAAGAAUUGGCCUCUACAAAGGAGAUUGUUGCUACGCAGCAAACUCAAAUUGAGGCUCAACAAUCUCAACUUGAAGCUCAACAGAAGAAGAUCGAUUGGCUACAAAGUGUCGUGUCUAACUUGGUUGGCAUUUCACCUCCUAUGGACGGCACUAGUGCAACAGGGCUAGGUUUCACAACUGAGCGGCCAAUGCCAUCUGACGGAAUAGGUUCGCUGAUAUCUAACACUGUAGAAAGGAUGUCAAGUUUUCCAAGAUCAUUUGCAAGAAAAUGAAGAUACUCAUCAUGAAUAUAUGGACUUACAAAUUCCAAUGUAUAGCUAGUAAUACAUGUAUACAUUUUCAACAGUCAUUUGAGGCCAGGAUAUAGACCUGCUCCAACUUCUUCUUCUGAUGGCAAUGGCUCUCUGGUGUCGGAUGGAGGGUCCAGGUAUUCAUGAUCAGGAGAUGACCUUGGAGGAGCAGCGGAAAGCAAUACUCGCGCUAAAGACUGAGAAGAGAAAACUAGUUGGAUCUAAAGAAAAUUCAGUGUACAAAUGCUAAAUGUAAUGUUUGGAUCAUAUUGGGGUUUACUGAUUGGAUCAUAUGUUCAGAUCAGUACUAAACGUGGUACUGUACUUUGCAAAUGCUAGAGUGGUAUUUCCUACUUGCAAAACAAAAUUCAGUUUAGCAUGUAAUGUUUGGAUCAUAAGUUUACAAAUGUUGAUUCUGAA